CGCUAUAAAUGCUGGCGCGCUAGUGUGCGCGCUCUCUCAUUUUUGCGAUGUUGCGGUGGAAGUGCGCUAGCGCGUACAAAACUGAGAAAGUCAGGCGGUCACAAGAGGGAGGCUGAAUGUGCUCUGCAUCUACUCCAGCUGCUGCAGCUCCGCUGUCACACAAGACCCCAAAAUGCCUUGAUCCCAAUGGCCAGUUUUGCUGAAAGGAUGAGGUAAAUGAGGAGAAAUUUGAAAGGUCCAUCGAGAUCAUCCUAUUGUGGGAAAGAUGUGUGAAGAUCUUCAGAAAUCAAGUUUUCUGUUCUUGCCCUUUUUUUAAUGUGAAAAGUGAUUGGUGCUCACUGUUAACGGUUUACAUUUUUUAAAAUGUAUUGUACGUUGUUACAAAUAUAUAAAAUCUACAAUUAUAAACAGCCCACUUCCUUUAGUGGAAAUUCCUAGAACAGGGUUGUGUUCCUGGAGAGCCACUUUCCUAAAAUGUAUAAGUUGAUGUCCGAUUGCUGCUUUGUCGUCAUGGGAAUGGCAUGUAGAUUGACAUGAAAAUAUCAGGGAUUUUAGCAUAAGGCUGCAACAAAAUGUGAAGAAUGAAGAGGAUCUGAAUGCACUGUUUAGGAGAUGUCUGUUCCUGCUUCUGCAGUGCCACCUUCAGCAGUUUAGCUCUAGCCGCAGAUAAACAUGCCUGAAGCCAGGUGUUCUGCAUCACUUGUCUUUCAGGCGUGCUGGCGCUGAACAGCAGGAAAGUGGUCCUCCAGGGUCAAGAUUGGAAAUCUUGCUCUAGCAUUAUUUGAGCAUGAGGCUGCUAUACGAAGACGAUGAAUGAAGGAGAUUUCUGAAAUGGUACAAUGUUUGAUUUGUCUCACUUGGUUCUGCUAAUGUUUUCAAACACUGGACAA